ensembl:lncRNA novel transcript
UAGAUUGGGACCUUACUGUAAUCAGCCCAUCACGGGAAAGGGUGUCACACUGAACUUAUGACAAGCUUAGCCAGCAGCAAGUAUCAGCACAGGCAGCUAAGUGGCUACACAGAGAAAAGGGCAACUCAACAAGGGCAGGAAAGGAUACAGAGAGGCCAAGUCAGCCAGAAUGGAGCUUUGAGGAGUGAGAGAGAAAAUCCUUGCAAAGAAAGGUAACAAGCAGCUGGGUUUUGAAAGGCCUUCGCAGACAGUGGGAGCCAUUAAAGUCACCAGAGGAGAUUCACGUGGUCGAGUCACCACUUUGGAAGAUUCAACUGGCAGAGACAUAUAGGAAGGAUUGCAAGGAAUAAAACAAGGAUUGCAAGAAAUACAGGAAGGAUUGCAAGAAAUAAAAAUCAAGCUCAAUGCUGCUCGUAGAGACACAGAAGGAGUGGGUGAGACUAAGAUGCUUCAUGUGGACAUGGUUGCUGAGGACACCCAGCUGCUGGUAUUCAGCAGUUAACUGGGGCUACAGUCCAGCAGCCCCCACAGCAGUGGGCACAGUCAGCAGCAAUCCGGGUGUCAGCCCCUCUCUGCAAGGAUUGGGGGCCAGAUGCUCCCUCCCUGGAAGCCACAUCAACGACAGACCACUGCUCUACUGAGAAUUCAAUAAAGACUUUUUACAGAACAUUA